rnacentral:rRNA from 1 species
UUCCGUAGGUGAACCUGCGGAAGGAUCAUUAUCAAAAGUCAAGUCGGGGGCUGUAAAGCUCUCGUCUACACCCCAUGUCUUUUGCGUACUCUUGUUUCCUCGGUGGCGCAAGCUGCCGAUUGGACAAACCAAAACCUUUUUUGUAAUUGCAAUCAGCGUCUGAAAAUAAUCUAAUUAUUUACAACUUUCAACAACGGAUCUCUUGGUUCUGGCAUCGAUGAAGAACGCAGCGAAAUGCGAUAAGUAGUGUGAAUUGCAGAAUUCAGUGAAUCAUCGAAUCUUUGAACGCACAUUGCGCCCCUUGGUAUUCCAUGGGGCAUGCCUGUUCGAGCGUCAUUUGUACCCUCAAGCUUUGCUUGGUGUUGGGCGUCUUGUCGUAUUACGACUCGCCUUAAAUUCAUUGGCAGCCGGCACUUUGGCCUAGGAGCGCAGCACAUUUUGCGAUCGUAGCCCGUUGUACUGGCGUCCAUCAAGAACAUUUACCACGUUUGACCUCGGAUCAGGUAGGGAUACCCGCUGAAC